GACGAACGCUGGCGGCGUGCUUAACACAUGCAAGUCGAACGGAAAGGCCCUGCUUUUGUGGGGUGCUCGAGUGGCGAACGGGUGAGUAACACGUGAGUAACCUGCCCUUGACUUUGGGAUAACUUCAGGAAACUGGGGCAAAUACUGGAUAGGAGCUCCUGCUGCUUGGUGGGGGUUGGAAAGUUUCGGCGGUUGGGGAUGGACUCGCGGCUUAUCAGCUUGUUGGUGGGGUAGUGGCUUACCAAGGCUUUGACGGGUAGCCGGCCUGAGAGGGUGACCGGCCACAUUGGGACUGAGAUACGGCCCAGACUCCUACGGGAGGCAGCAGUGGGGAAUAUUGCGCAAUGGGCGGAAGCCUGAUGCAGCAACGCCGCGUGCGGGAUGACGGCCUUCGGGUUGUAAACCUCUUUCGCCUGUGACGAAGCGUGAGUGACGGUAACGGGUAAAGAAGCACCGGCUAACUACGUG
rnacentral:rRNA from 1 species